rnacentral:rRNA from 1 species
UUAAGCGACUAAGCGUACACGGUGGAUGCCCUGGCAGUCAGAGGCGAUGAAGGACGUGCUAAUCUGCGAUAAGCGUCGGUGAGGUGAUAUGAACCGUUAUAACCGGCGAUUUCCGAAUGGGGAAACCCAGUGUGUUUCGACACACUAUCAUUAACUGAAUCCAUAGGUUAAUGAGGCGAACCGGGGGAACUGAAACAUCUAAGUACCCCGAGGAAAAGAAAUCAACCGAGAUUCCCCCAGUAGCGGCGAGCGAACGGGGAGGAGCCCAGAGCCUGAAUCAGUGUGUGUGUUAGUGGAAGCGUCUGGAAAGGCGUGCGAUACAGGGUGACAGCCCCGUACACAAAAAUGCACAUAUUGUGAGCUCGAUGAGUAGGGCGGGACACGUGGUAUCCUGUCUGAAUAUGGGGGGACCAUCCUCCAAGGCUAAAUACUCCUGACUGACCGAUAGUGAACCAGUACCGUGAGGGAAAGGCGAAAAGAACCCCGGCGAGGGGAGUGAAAAAGAACCUGAAACCGUGUACGUACAAGCAGUGGGAGCCUCUUAAUGGGGUGAGACUGCGUACCUUUUGUAUAAUGGGUCAGCGACUUAUAUUCUGUAGCAAGGUUAACCGAAUAGGGGAGCCGAAGGGAAACCGAGUCUUAACUGGGCGUUAAGUUGCAGGGUAUAGACCCGAAACCCGGUGAUCUAGCCAUGGGCAGGUUGAAGGUUGGGUAACACUAACUGGAGGACCGAACCGACUAAUGUUGAAAAAUUAGCGGAUGACUUGUGGCUGGGGGUGAAAGGCCAAUCAAACCGGGAGAUAGCUGGUUCUCCCCGAAAGCUAUUUAGGUAGCGCCUCGUGAAUUCAUCUCCGGGGGUAGAGCACUGUUUCGGCAAGGGGGUCAUCCCGACUUACCAACCCGAUGCAAACUGCGAAUACCGGAGAAUGUUAUCACGGGAGACACACGGCGGGUGCUAACGUCCGUCGUGAAGAGGGAAACAACCCAGACCGCCAGCUAAGGUCCCAAAGUCAUGGUUAAGUGGGAAACGAUGUGGGAAGGCCCAGACAGCCAGGAUGUUGGCUUAGAAGCAGCCAUCAUUUAAAGAAAGCGUAAUAGCUCACUGGUCGAGUCGGCCUGCGCGGAAGAUGUAACGGGGCUAAACCAUGCACCGAAGCUGCGGCAGCGACACUAUGUGUUGUUGGGUAGGGGAGCGUUCUGUAAGCCUGUGAAGGUGGCCUGUGAGGGUUGCUGGAGGUAUCAGAAGUGCGAAUGCUGACAUAAGUAACGAUAAAGCGGGUGAAAAGCCCGCUCGCCGGAAGACCAAGGGUUCCUGUCCAACGUUAAUCGGGGCAGGGUGAGUCGACCCCUAAGGCGAGGCCGAAAGGCGUAGUCGAUGGGAAACAGGUUAAUAUUCCUGUACUUGGUGUUACUGCGAAGGGGGGACGGAGAAGGCUAUGUUGGCCGGGCGACGGUUGUCCCGGUUUAAGCGUGUAGGCUGGUUUUCCAGGCAAAUCCGGAAAACCAAGGCUGAGGCGUGAUGACGAGGCACUACGGUGCUGAAGCGACAAAUGCCCUGCUUCCAGGAAAAGCCUCUAAGCAUCAGGUAACAUCAAAUCGUACCCCAAACCGACACAGGUGGUCAGGUAGAGAAUACCAAGGCGCUUGAGAGAACUCGGGUGAAGGAACUAGGCAAAAUGGUGCCGUAACUUCGGGAGAAGGCACGCUGAUAUGUAGGUGAAGCGACUUGCUCGUGGAGCUGAAAUCAGUCGAAGAUACCAGCUGGCUGCAACUGUUUAUUAAAAACACAGCACUGUGCAAACACGAAAGUGGACGUAUACGGUGUGACGCCUGCCCGGUGCCGGAAGGUUAAUUGAUGGGGUUAGCGGCAACGCGAAGCUCUUGAUCGAAGCCCCGGUAAACGGCGGCCGUAACUAUAACGGUCCUAAGGUAGCGAAAUUCCUUGUCGGGUAAGUUCCGACCUGCACGAAUGGCGUAAUGAUGGCCAGGCUGUCUCCACCCGAGACUCAGUGAAAUUGAACUCGCUGUGAAGAUGCAGUGUACCCGCGGCAAGACGGAAAGACCCCGUGAACCUUUACUAUAGCUUGACACUGAACAUUGAGCCUUGAUGUGUAGGAUAGGUGGGAGGCUUUGAAGUGUGGACGCCAGUCUGAAGUGUGGACGCCAGUCUGCAUGGAGCCGACCUUGAAAUACCACCCUUUAAUGUUUGAUGUUCUAACGUUGGCCCGUAAUCCGGGUUGCGGACAGUGUCUGGUGGGUAGUUUGACUGGGGCGGUCUCCUCCUAAAGAGUAACGGAGGAGCACGAAGGUUGGCUAAUCCUGGUCGGACAUCAGGAGGUUAGUGCAAUGGCAUAAGCCAGCUUGACUGCGAGCGUGACGGCGCGAGCAGGUGCGAAAGCAGGUCAUAGUGAUCCGGUGGUUCUGAAUGGAAGGGCCAUCGCUCAACGGAUAAAAGGUACUCCGGGGAUAACAGGCUGAUACCGCCCAAGAGUUCAUAUCGACGGCGGUGUUUGGCACCUCGAUGUCGGCUCAUCACAUCCUGGGGCUGAAGUAGGUCCCAAGGGUAUGGCUGUUCGCCAUUUAAAGUGGUACGCGAGCUGGGUUUAGAACGUCGUGAGACAGUUCGGUCCCUAUCUGCCGUGGGCGCUGGAGAACUGAGGGGGGCUGCUCCUAGUACGAGAGGACCGGAGUGGACGCAUCACUGGUG